UUUAUAUUAUUCCAUCUUUUAUCCCCAUCUUCUUCUUCCCCGAUGACCCAUGGAAAAAAAAGAAUAGAACAGAAAGCUACGGCAGCCUUUCAUGGCAGUAACCCCACCUUUAAUUGCUUCCAAAUUUUGACCACCCAUCAGAAAUUACUCAUACCAAAUUGAAACCCACGCUACCAAGAACCCAUAGCCGUGUUUAUCUCGCCAUGGAAUGGCCUAGGCUCGUCGGAAAGCCAUGAAAACCGGUGAAAGUGCAUUUUCCGAUCGCCGUCUUCCGAUGAGUAUGGCGUCGCAUGGGUGGCCCUUUCCCACAAAUGUGGGUCCCCUGAGUCCGUUUCCAAGCUCGGAUUGGCUCAAAUCUUGCUCGUUCUUGAGAUAUGACAGAGCCCAUUUCGGCAGCAACUUCCCGGUAGGAUUCCGGCGACCUCCGGCAGCGGUUGGACCAAUUGAAGAUUAUAUAUUCUUUCGUGGUUGCCAUCGGAUCGAGAGCAGACAAGUUUGAUAUUAGCCAUAGCCACCCCCUACCAUUGCUGGGAUUGAGGGUUAUAGCAACGGCGUCGUUGGGAUGCCAAGGUGAUCGGAUGCAUGUUCUUUCCUUAAUUUUCUUGCCAGAGUGGUGCUUGGGAUGCUAGAUACCGCUUGGCACCACUGGUGUAUGCGUACUGGUGUUCUGUAUAAUAUCUGUUGUUAGUGCGCAUGUAUAUAGGGUUGUCCUGUGAGAUGCUAUGGACCUAAAGGUAGGUAGCGAUAAUACAGAGUGAGCAUUAGCAACUCCUUUUCAUGGUCAGGAUGACUAUUGAUAGCAUCGGUACCAGUGGAACACCACGGCGAUUGGAUGCAGGUUCUCUUCUUAACCCCUUUGUCAGGCCGUACUCAAGAUGCUGUGUACUGUCGGAUGCCACUAGUAUAUAGUGUGGUGCAACAAGUUUCUUUUUGUAUAUACAUAUAUACGUUUAUAAAUAUAUAUAAAUAUGUUAUAUUAUAUUAUCUUUGUAUGUACCAUAUCAUAUGGGGACAACGAUCUAACGUAGUCCAUGAAGAACUAGUCUCAUGACUAUAUUGUCUACGAAUUCAAGGGAUCGGAAGGUUAAUAUGGGCAACCACUCCCGAUCUGUACUGAUAAUAGAGUGCCGGCGAUAAUUGGAAUCAUGGAUCGUGCAGUAUGUAGAUGGUAUCGUAUGUACCUUCGUUAUGAGUGCAUAGGUCGUAAUACAUCAUUAAUUUUAAAAUAUUAUUUUAUUUUAUAUUAUCUAUUUCUUUGUAAA